rnacentral:rRNA from 1 species
UACGUUCCCGGCCUUGUACACACCGCCCGUCACGUCACGAAAGUCGGCAACACCCGAAGCCGGUGGCCUAACCCGUAAGGGAGGGAGCCGUCGAAGGUGGGCUGGCGAUUGGGACG